rnacentral:rRNA from 1 species
GAUGAACGCUGGCGGCGUGCCUAAUACAUGCAAGUCGAGCGAACGGACGAGAAGCUUGCUUUUCUGAUGUUAGCGGCGGACGGGUGAGUAACACGUGGAUAACCUACCUAUAAGACUGGGAUAACUUCGGGAAACCGGAGCUAAUACCGGAUAAUAUUUUGAACCGCAUGGUUCAAAAGUGAAAGACGGUCUUGCUGUCACUUAUAGAUGGAUCCGCGCUGCAUUUGCUAGUUGGUAAGGUAACGGCUUACCAAGGCAACGAUGCAUAGCCGACCUGAGAGGGUGAUCGGCCACACUGGAACUGAGACACGGUCCAGACUCCUACGGGAGGCAGCAGUAGGGAAUCUUCCGCAAUGGGCGAAAGCCUGACGGAGCAACGCCGCGUGAGUGAUGAAGGUCUUCGGAUCGUAAAACUCUGUUAUUAGGGAAGAACAUAUGUGUAAGUAACUGUGCACAUCUUGACGGUACCUAAUCAGAAAGCCACGGCUAACUACGUG